rnacentral:tRNA from 1 species
GAUUCGCUAGCUCAGCUGGUAGAGCACAACACUUUUAAUGUUGGGGUCCUGGGUUCGAGCCCAGGCGGAUCA